CAUAAUUUCAACAGAUUUUACAGGGAAAUUUUGAGGAAAGUUGAAUUCUGAUUUUUUUCAGAUUUUUCGCAAUAUUUCAUGAAGGUAAAUUCAUUUCAAACUUCGAUCAAUUUUCAAUUUUUCGUUAAUCCAGCAUUUUUUUUUUUGGAAAUAUUCCUCAAAUUUUUCGAUGAAAUAAAUAUCCAAGUACUUUUUCUAAAUUUACAAUUAUUUUGAUGACAUUUUUACCAAUUUUCGAGCAAUUUUUCAACUACAUACUUUGAUCAAAUAUGCCAAUUUCCUUUUUUUUAAAAAUCAAAUGCUAAUUUUCAUUUCGAUUCGAUACAAUGAUGCUUACUCGAAAAAAUUUAAAGGGCAAGUACCGGUUUGGAAAGUUUUAUUUUCCAAAAAAACAAAACGAAUCAAAUUACAAGUUUUGAUGAGAAAAAUCGAAAGAAAACCUACACAAUCGUUUACAAAUUACACUUCUUUGAAGGUUUUUUUUUCUUUUUUAGAGGGAUGGGGGAGGGAAUAACGAACGUUUGAAAAUUUUUCUAGAAAAUCUGUAUCAUACCUGCUUAAAUGUUUGAAAAUGUCCAAAUCAACAAAUUAAUUGAAAUUUCUCAAAAUUUUCAUAAAAAUUGCCAAAAUUUGUUUCCAAAAUUGCUUGAAAUGCAGUGAAAAAGUUGAAAAUGAACCAUACCUACAGGUUGAUGUGAUUUUAAAAAAUUCGAGCUAAAUACCGCAAAAAAUGUCUGAAAAAUACAAAAAAGUUGCUGAAAAUUUAUCUCAUAAUAUUAUCAAACUGAAAUGAAAUUUCGCAAAAAUGCACUAAAACUGCGUAAAAAUUUGUUCAAAAUAUGAUCAAAAUUUGUUAAAAUUACGUUUGUAAUUUAAAAAUUAGCUUAAAAAUAGCCUCUACAAACUACGAUCAAAUUUUUCAUAAUUUGAAAAAAAAAAAAAACAUUCAACUCGUAGAAAAUUCUCCAAAAUUGAACACAUAAAAAUAACAUAAAUUAUCACAAGAAUCGUUAAGAAAAAGCAGAGAAAUUUGAAAAAAAUGAUGAAAACUUAAUCAAAACCUAUCAAAAUGAAAUUAAUUUUUCCAAAAAAAAAAAAAAAAAAAAGGUACAAAACUGGAUCAAAAAUCAUUAUUGAUGAAAUUACCAUAAAAUUGGUGAAAUUUGACAAAAAUUGUUUGGAACAUGACACGAUCCUAACUUGUUAAAAUGACAUAAAAUGAAUUAAAAAUAAGUUUGACUGAAGUUGAAAAAAAUCUCACAAAAAUCAUCCAUAUUACCUAUUGAAAGAAGGCCAAAAAUUGCAAACACUCCUUCGUAAGUUUAUUUUAUUUUGGAAUUUCAUUAUUCUACGCAGAAGUCCUCCGAGCAUUUCAUUUCAUAGGUAGGUAGGUAUCAUUUUUUUUUUUUUUUUUUCGAUUCAUAGCUACAACAACUUUCUCGAAAAUACUCCACACCAGGAUUAAGACGAGGGACGAUGAUUCUUCUUUCAAGAAGUUCUCUACAAGCGUCAAAUUAGAUGUACUUAUCUAGAUACUAUAGGUAGGAAUAUUAUUGUCUCCUUGGCAACAAAAACAAUCAAAUUCAGAUCUGCAGCUUAGCUCAGCACUAAAAUUAAAGUUCCUUCUACAUAUUACAAUAUUAUAAUCAAUCACUUGACCGAUAAAUUGAGUAAAAAUGGCACCAAAAAAGAAAAAUCGUGGCAAUAAAUUAGCAAGAAUGACCGAAGAGGAAAAAUUACGAUAUUUACAGCAUAAAGCUGCCAUGGAAGAGGAAGCUCAAAGAAGGAAACAAGAAUUGGUAGCAACGUUUCUCAAGACAAAAAUGAUCCACGAAGAAGCAUUCGCUCGUUUAAAUUCAGCUAAAAUUAAUCAACAAUGGAGACACAUCUUGAGACAGAUCAAAUGCAAAGAACUCAAAGAGGACAUGGAAACAAUGAAACAACGUUUUGAGAUCAGCCUAGAAUGCAAAAACAAAGUCAUCGAAAACCUUUUGAACGAUUUCCAAGAUGCAGAAUUCCAAUAUUCGUUACAAUAUCAAACACAGAUGGAAAUAAUUCUCAAAUUAUUAGAUCUUCACCGAAGCAGAUUAUCCGAUCUGAAGUCCUGGUACACGAAUCAAGUAAAAGAAAUCGUCCACACUGAUCUAACUCAACGAACCAAGCUCAAACAAGAAUUCCAAACACAGAUGGGUAAACUGCAAACUAUGUACGAUGAUUCUAGACAAAAAUCUGAUACACGAACUCUAGAUUUGAAGACAAAGUUUAGAUCAAAUAAGAACGAGCUUCAGACCAAACUACUUUACACGAUGGUCAAAAUGGAAGAAAAGUACACCGAUGAAAUCCGUAAAACGAAAACACAACUAAAUGAGAUCCUACAAUCUCACAGCGAUUCGACCGAUACGAAAAAAGCACAUUAUAAUAUUUUAGCCAACAAAGACGACGCUGAUACCGCCAAAAUCGUCAUCAAUUUCGAACAAAUAUCAACACUCACCGAUACGAUCAAAGACUCGAUUUCCAAGCAUAAAACACUUCUUGAGACCAACGAAAAUCACGCCAAACACUUGAAAUCAAAAAAGCAAUCGAUUAGAAAACAGCAUCGGAAAUUACGCGAACAAAACGAACAGAUUUUAGCUCGAGAUACCGAAAAGCUCAAGAUGUUGACCGAAAUUAGCAACAGAUGUAUUAAAGUACGUUAAUGGAACACUGUCAUCGAUCAUUUAAUCUUCUUCGAACAUUAAAAUAAUAAAAUAUUGUAGAAUUUAAAAGAUAAAUUCAAAAAACAAGUCGCAUUACUUCAAAUGAAGGAUGUCAGUCGAACAUUUCAAGCGAACAAUGAACUAAGGAUCGAAUCAAGUCCGCCAUUUUGUUUGGAAAUGCAAGAAAUGGAAAUGGAAGAUGAUUCAAAUGAUCCAUUAUCGUAUUCAAAGUAUCGUUCGUUCUGGAAACGUUUCAAUAAUGUGAAGAUGGAUCACGAAUUAUUAAAAAAACAUAAACAAGAAUUAAUUACAGAGAAUAAAAGUCUGAAAAAAUCACUAGAAACUUACAUGAUCUCAGUUCGCAGAUCGUCUUCAGUUCCACGAAAAUGCGGUAUAUAAAUUAUCAUUACGAUUACAAACGCGACGGUUUUCGAACUCAACUAGACUAAUAAUUAUUAAUAGCCUACCACAUAUUAAAUUACU